UCUGCCACCACCGCUGCAAUAACCACCUCCACCACCGCCUGCACCCCUGGUCUGGGCUUGAUUGACGGUAAUAAUCCUACCAUCAAGGUCCUAUCCGUUCAUCCCUUCAAUAGUAUCCCUCAUCGAUUGCUCAUCGCGGAAAGUAACGAAGCCAAACCCUCUGGAUCUCCCAGUCUCACGAUUGCUGAUGAUCUGAAGACAUCAGCAAAAACAAAAAAUUG